CCUGGAAUGUGCUUUCUUGCUGAAAUCAAAAAAGGUGGGGCUUUUUCCACUGCAUGCAUACCGCCCUCGAAAACUCUUCUGCCAUUUGAUAGCUACUGCACCUAUUGGCUUGGAAGUACAAUGCAUCUUUGACAAGACAACAGAGGGUAAUUGAGCCGUUGCUUAUGUUGAGGCCUUGAAGACCUCAAUAAUCUCGAGAGGGGGGUCCAUUUGAAGCUACCUCAAAACUACACUACACUGAGAGCAAUGAAGAGUCAAAUUCCCUGUGUGUACACAAACUUGGCCAAUAAAGCUGUUUCAGAUGA